AUUUCAUUCUACAGUGUGUGAACUGGUUAUUAAAUAAAUCUAGUAUCAAAACCAGGUGAGGUUAUAAAACGAUAAGUGUAAUUUUUUGUAGUGUUGCAGGUUUCUAAAAAGUUAAAAAAUUAUUAUCAUUUU